rnacentral:rRNA from 2 species
AAAUUGAAGAGUUUGAUCAUGGCUCAGAUUGAACGCUGGCGGCAGGCCUAACACAUGCAAGUCGAACGGUAACAGGAAGCAGCUUGCUGCUUUGCUGACGAGUGGCGGACGGGUGAGUAAUGUCUGGGAAACUGCCUGAUGGAGGGGGAUAACUACUGGAAACGGUGGCUAAUACCGCAUAACGUCGCAAGACCAAAGAGGGGGACCUUCGGGCCUCUUGCCAUCAGAUGUGCCCAGAUGGGAUUAGCUAGUUGGUGAGGUAACGGCUCACCAAGGCGACGAUCCCUAGCUGGUCUGAGAGGAUGGCCAGCCACACUGGAACUGAGACACGGUCCAGACUCCUACGGGAGGCAGCAGUGGGGAAUAUUGCACAAUGGGCGCAAGCCUGAUGCAGCCAUGCCGCGUGUAUGAAGAAGGCCUUCGGGUUGUAAAGUACUUUCAGCGGGGAGGAAGGUGUUGUGGUUAAUAACCUCAGCAAUUGACGUUACCCGCAGAAGAAGCACCGGCUAACUCCGUGCCAGCAGCCGCGGUAAUACGGAGGGUGCAAGCGUUAAUCGGAAUUACUGGGCGUAAAGCGCACGCAGGCGGUCUGUCAAGUCGGAUGUGAAAUCCCCGGGCUCAACCUGGGAACUGCAUUCGAAACUGGCAGGCUUGAGUCUUGUAGAGGGGGGUAGAAUUCCAGGUGUAGCGGUGAAAUGCGUAGAGAUCUGGAGGAAUACCGGUGGCGAAGGCGGCCCCCUGGACAAAGACUGACGCUCAGGUGCGAAAGCGUGGGGAGCAAACAGGAUUAGAUACCCUGGUAGUCCACGCCGUAAACGAUGUCUACUUGGAGGUUGUGCCCUUGAGGCGUGGCUUCCGGAGCUAACGCGUUAAGUAGACCGCCUGGGGAGUACGGCCGCAAGGUUAAAACUCAAAUGAAUUGACGGGGGCCCGCACAAGCGGUGGAGCAUGUGGUUUAAUUCGAUGCAACGCGAAGAACCUUACCUGGUCUUGACAUCCACAGAAGAAUCCAGAGAUGGAUUUGUGCCUUCGGGAACUGUGAGACAGGUGCUGCAUGGCUGUCGUCAGCUCGUGUUGUGAAAUGUUGGGUUAAGUCCCGCAACGAGCGCAACCCUUAUCCUUUGUUGCCAGCGAUUAGGUCGGGAACUCAAAGGAGACUGCCAGUGAUAAACUGGAGGAAGGUGGGGAUGACGUCAAGUCAUCAUGGCCCUUACGACCAGGGCUACACACGUGCUACAAUGGCGCAUACAAAGAGAAGCGACCUCGCGAGAGCAAGCGGACCUCAUAAAGUGCGUCGUAGUCCGGAUUGGAGUCUGCAACUCGACUCCAUGAAGUCGGAAUCGCUAGUAAUCGUGGAUCAGAAUGCCACGGUGAAUACGUUCCCGGGCCUUGUACACACCGCCCGUCACACCAUGGGAGUGGGUUGCAAAAGAAGUAGGUAGCUUAACCUUCGGGAGGGCGCUUACCACUUUGUGAUUCAUGACUGGGGUGAAGUCGUAACAAGGUAACCGUAGGGGAACCUGCGGUUGGAUCACCUCCUUA